GUGAAUAGUACACAUACCACACUAACCUGUCUGUUGACCCCGCCGGGUCACAGACACACAUACACAGAGCUCGUCUUUCAUUCAUACCACACAGUAUACUGAGCAUCGGGGGUGAGAGUCUUCACAGCACAGACGCAUGAGAACAAAACUGGACACUAUGGGAACCAGAGGAAUUCUGCUGAAGAGUAAUAUCCUGCUAUUGUUAUUUCCAUGCCAAGUGCAAUGGGACCGAUCAUUUCCCUUCGCUGUUAUGACCUACCUGAAGAUUGAUGUUUGACUUGCUGGGUAAUUUUGCUGUAAAGUUUACAGAAUGCUGCUCCCAUCCCACUCAAGCAUACGAGGGAUGACACUUUCUGUCCCGAACGCUUAACUCACGACAUCCCAUCAGAAACAAAGCUCAAUCUCUGCAGUUCACACUCAGAACCGAAGGACAAACUCAUCUGCCUCUCGCCCAUGCAAUCUCCACGGAAACUCAUUUACUUUGCACUGCUGAGUAUAAAGUCAUCAUCUAAUUCCCCCUUGCCUGAGUGAUAAAAAACUACAAACAUUAAAGAGCUCUGGACCCACCGGAUGACUUCCACAGCAGACUAACUUCCAUUCGCCCGGAGCGCCGCAUGGCUUUUGGGAAGCGGUAGAGGAUUCCAUUGUUCUCUGGCCCCCCUGGGUCCCCUUGUGACUGUGUCAGCUGGUUGAGGGGAAGCCCAUUGUGAUCCGGUUGUGCUGUGACAGGACGGUGUGCCUUCUCUAGACACACUGUCAUUGGCGUUACACAAACAGACAGAUGGACAUUGGGGAGCCGACAGGUGGGUGUCAAAUAGCAGCACACAAUACAGUCUAGCUGAGAGGGCCAAAGGAAUGUGACCCACAAAGGUGGGGAAAAGGUCUCUUUGUUUGUUUUGCUUAGGUAUACUGUACGUACAGAAUAUUAUUUUCAUUGAAGUGAAGAGAAAUACAGAGAUGCUACAGUGGAAACCAGUUAAUAGGCCGAAAACUUCGUUCACUGCAUUAAAGAUUCAUUAAGUCAUUAAGACCAUUAGCAAACACCAUCACAACCAUUCGAUACAUGGGGAGGAAACUGUCAGAGACCAUGUUUUAUGCACACUUUACAAUUUAAAAUAAAAAAGCAUGUAUAUUUACAUUAAUAUGCUUCAUUGAUUUUGGAUAUUCCUGUAUACUGUAUAUGCAGUCAGCAUAU